UCUGCAGCCCUACCACCCAGAAGGCGCCUGAUCUCAUCUGAGCUCAGAAGCUGAGCAGGGUCGGGUCUGGUUCACCCUUAGAAGGGAGACUGCAAGAA
rnacentral:rRNA from 1 species